UGGCUGUGAUGACUCUUAGGACACCUUUGGAUUAAUCGUGAAAAGAACUUAUUAAACCUGAGCUAC
ensembl:snoRNA SNORD58 Small nucleolar RNA SNORD58